GUUUCUGAGGUCCCUUCAUCCCGUUCAUAGACAAACCUGCUCGGAGAAUGAGAGUUUAUAUCCACUCCUCCAUGCAGCAGCCAGAAAGGAAAAGGCUUGCUUCUCUGGGGAGGGCUUGUGAUAGCCCAGCAAGCCUAGCCCCAGCCACUCACAUCCGUCCCUGGCAUGGUGAUCCUGAGUGAUGUGAAAGUCUUAUGCCAGUAUCAUCUCCGGUUACACAGUAAGUUACUGUACCAUUCCCACGAGAAUGGGGAUUAUACCUGCUUUGAAAACCACAGCUACAGCCAGUACUCUUCUCACAAUGGAUGCUCAGGAAGUACAUCCCUCCCCAGGGUGACUGAAGGACAACAGAGUUACAGGAGUUCCACUUCUGUACAUG
ensembl:lncRNA